GACGAACGCUGGCGGCGUGCCUAAUACAUGCAGGUAGAACGCUGAAGAGAGGAGCUUGCUCUUCUUGGAUGAGUUGCGAACGGGUGAGUAACGCGUAGGUAACCUGCCUUGUAGCGGGGGAUAACUAUUGGAAACGAUAGCUAAUACCGCAUAACAAUGGAUGACACAUGUCAUUUAUUUGAAAGGGGCAAUUGCUCCACUACAAGAUGGACCUGCGUUGUAUUAGCUAGUAGGUGAGGUAACGGCUCACCUAGGCGACGAUACAUAGCCGACCUGAGAGGGUGAUCGGCCACACUGGGACUGAGACACGGCCCAGACUCCUACGGGAGGGAGCAGGAGGGAAUCUUCGGCAAUGGGGGCAACCCUGACCGAGCAAAGCCGCGUGAGUGAAGAAGGGUUUCGGAUCGUAAAGCUCUGUUGUAAGUCAAGAACGAGUGUGAGAGUGGAAAGUUCACACUGUGACGGUAGCUUACCAGAAAGGGACGGCUAACUACGUG
rnacentral:rRNA from 1 species